rnacentral:rRNA from 1 species
GAUGAACGCUGGCGGCGUGCCUAAUACAUGCAAGUAGAACGCUGAAGGAAGGAGCUUGCUCUUUCCGGAUGAGUUGCGAACGGGUGAGUAACGCGUAGGUAACCUGCCUGGUAGCGGGGGAUAACUAUUGGAAACGAUAGCUAAUACCGCAUAACAGUAGAUGUUGCAUGAUAUCUACUUAAAAGGUGCAAUUGCACCACUACCAGAUGGACCUGCGUUGUAUUAGCUAGUUGGUGAGGUAACGGCUCACCAAGGCGACGAUACAUAGCCGACCUGAGAGGGUGAUCGGCCACACUGGGACUGAGACACGGCCCAGACUCCUACGGGAGGCAGCAGUAGGGAAUCUUCGGCAAUGGACGGAAGUCUGACCGAGCAACGCCGCGUGAGUGAAGAAGGUUUUCGGAUCGUAAAGCUCUGUUGUAAGAGAAGAACGAGUGUGAGAGUGGAAAGUUCACACUGUGACGGUAUCUUACCAGAAAGGGACGGCCAACUACGUG